UACAGAGGUGGCAAGCGUUGUUCGGAAUUACUGGGCGUAAAGGGCGCGUAGGCGGUCUUGUAAGUCUCGUGUGAAAUCCCUCGGCUUAACUGAGGAACUGCACGGGAUACUGCAUGACUUGAGAUCGGGGGAGGGAAGCGGAAUUCCGGGUGUAGCGGUGAAAUGCGUAGAUAUCCGGAGGAACACCGGUGGCGAAGGCGGCUUCCUGGACCGACACUGACGCUGAGGCGCGAAAGCUAGGGGAGCAAACGGG
rnacentral:rRNA from 1 species